AGUGGGGAAUAUUGGACAAUGGGCGAAAGCCUGAUCCAGCCAUGCCGCGUGAGUGAUGAAGGCCUUAGGGUUGUAAAGCUCUUUCAGUGGGGAAGAUAAUGACGGUACCCACAGAAGAAGCCCCGGCUAACUUCGUGCCAGCAGCCGCGGUAAUACGAAGGGGGCUAGCGUUGUUCGGAUUUACUGGGCGUAAAGCGCACGUAGGCGGAUCGUUAAGUCGGGGGUGAAAUCCUGGAGCUCAACUCCAGAACUGCCUUCGAUACUGGCGAUCUUGAGUCCGGAAGAGGUGAGUGGAACUCCUAGUGUAGAGGUGGAAUUCGUAGAUAUUAGGAAGAACACCAGUGGCGAAGGCGGCUCACUGGUCCGGUACUGACGCUGAGGUGCGAAAGCGUGGGGAGCAAA
rnacentral:rRNA from 1 species